rnacentral:rRNA from 1 species
UAUGUUUUUGAGCCUGUCUGCGACGCACUUGCCUAUCUUGUCGAACAGGCAGCACAGUAAGAGCUUGCUCUUACGGGUGGCGAGGGGCGGACGGGUGAGGAAUGCAUCGGAAUCUACUCUGUCGUGGGGGAUAACGUAGGGAAACUUACGCUAAUACCGCAUACGACCUACGGGUGAAAGCAGGGGAUCUUCGGACCUUGCGCGAUUGAAUGAGCCGAUGCCCGAUUAGCUAGUUGGCGGGGUAAGAGCCCACCAAGGCGACGAUCGGUAGCUGGUCUGAGUGGAUGAUCAGCCACACUGGAACUGAGACACGGUCCAGACUCCUACGGGAGGCAGCAGUGGGGAAUAUUGGACAAUGGGCGCAAGCCUGAUCCAGCCAUACCGCGUGGGUGAAGAAGGCCUUCGGGUUGUAAAGCCCUUUUGUUGGGAAAGAAAAGCAUUCGGUUAAUACCCGAUUGUUCUGACGGUACCCAAAGAAUAAGCACCGGCUAACUUCGUGCCAGCAGCCGCGGUAAUU